rnacentral:rRNA from 1 species
ACAGGCUUAACACAUGCAAGUCGAGGGGCAUCAGGAAGAAAGCUUGCUUUCUUUGCUGGCGACCGGCGCACGGGUGAGUAACACGUAUCCAACCUGCCCUUUACUCGGGGAUAGCCUUUCGAAAGAAAGAUUAAUACCCGAUAGCAUAAUGAUUCCGCAUGGUUUCAUUAUUAAAGGAUUCCGGUAAAGGAUGGGGAUGCGUUCCAUUAGGUUGUUGGUGAGGUAACGGCCCACCAAGCCUUCGAUGGAUAGGGGUUCUGAGAGGAAGGUCCCCCACAUUGGAACUGAGACACGGUCCAAACUCCUACGGGAGGCAGCAGUGAGGAAUAUUGGUCAAUGGGCGCUAGCCUGAACCAGCCAAGUAGCGUGAAGGAUGAAGGCUCUAUGGGUCGUAAACUUCUUUUAUAUAAGAAUAAAGUGCAGUAUGUAUACUGUUUUGUAUGUAUUAUAUGAAUAAGGAUCGGCUAACUCCGUGCCAGCAGCCGCGGUAAUACGGAGGAUCCGAGCGUUAUCCGGAUUUAUUGGGUUUAAAGGGAGCGUAGGUGGACUGGUAAGUCAGUUGUGAAAGUUUGCGGCUCAACCGUAAAAUUGCAGUUGAUACUGUCAGUCUUGAGUACAGUAGAGGUGGGCGGAAUUCGUGGUGUAGCGGUGAAAUGCUUAGAUAUCACGAAGAACUCCGAUUGCGAAGGCAGCUCACUGGACUGCAACUGACACUGAUGCUCGAAAGUGUGGGUAUCAAACAGGAUUAGAUACCCUGGUAGUCCACACAGUAAACGAUGAAUACUCGCUGUUUGCGAUAUACAGUAAGCGGCCAAGCGAAAGCAUUAAGUAUUCCACCUGGGGAGUACGCCGGCAACGGUGAAACUCAAAGGAAUUGACGGGGGCCCGCACAAGCGGAGGAACAUGUGGUUUAAUUCGAUGAUACGCGAGGAACCUUACCCGGGCUUAAAUUGCAGUGGAAUGAUGUGGAAACAUGUCAGUGAGCAAUCACCGCUGUGAAGGUGCUGCAUGGUUGUCGUCAGCUCGUGCCGUGAGGUGUCGGCUUAAGUGCCAUAACGAGCGCAACCCUUAUCUUUAGUUACUAACAGGUUAUGCUGAGGACUCUAGAGAGACUGCCGUCGUAAGAUGUGAGGAAGGUGGGGAUGACGUCAAAUCAGCACGGCCCUUACGUCCGGGGCUACACACGUGUUACAAUGGGGGGUACAGAAGGCAGCUAGCGGGUGACCGUAUGCUAAUCCCAAAAUCCUCUCUCAGUUCGGAUCGAAGUCUGCAACCCGACUUCGUGAAGCUGGAUUCGCUAGUAAUCGCGCAUCAGCCACGGCGCGGUGAAUACGUUCCCGGGCCUUGUACACACCGCCCGUCAAGCCAUGGGAGCCGGGGGUACCUGAAGUACGUAACCGCAAGGAUCGUCCUAGGGUAAAACUGGUGACUGGGGCU